UAAAUGUAUUUUGUUUCAAGAUGAGCGCAAACUAACUUUCACUCUGUUGAAACAUCUGUACUUGAGAAACUGUGGAAGAGUAUUUAAACAUUUGUUUCCCAUGUAGUCCGCUUCAAACUCACGGCAAUUACGAUUAAACGUUUCAAAACAGAAACAUUUGGUAUUUUACGGUGGUCAAUCAUCAUUGAUGAAGCUAAACAGGGGUCUGAGUCGAUCGUCGAUAGAAUCGCUCACACAGUACAGCGAGUUGUGACAGUGCUGAACUCGAGAACUGUCAUCUGAAAAGGAGUGUGCUGCUGAGUGCUCGCUCUUUUCGGAUAGUAUCAACAAGACAGAGAUACCCGGAAGGCACGAAAGUUAAUUUAGGUGACUAGAAUGAAUCGUUUCAAGACCUCCAAAUUCAAAAACACCACCCCAAAGAUCGGCAAGAAAGAUGGCUGGAUCAGUAAUGUCCGGGCAGGAUCCUUCACCUCUCAGGGGAACCACAUCAAAUCCAGCACCAGGCUUGUGGCCUUCAACACUGACCAGGCCGGUGGAGGAAUGCUCGGCCUCACCUCUGUGGAACCAGGGUCUGAUGGCAGGUGGACGGUGACUGUGAUCCCAUGUCAUUCUGAUCUAAUAACUGAUUUGGACUUCUCUCCGUUUGAUGAUAAUCUCCUGGCUACCUGUUCUGCAGAUGAACGGUGAAGCUGUGGCGUGUGUGUGAACCAGAACAGGAGCAGCCUGGGGGGGCGGAGGUGACCCUGUGUCCCGGAGAGGGGCGUCUGGAGCUGGUCGCCUUCCACCCCACCUCCUCUGGCCUGCUGGCUGUGGGCUCCACCAAGACAGUCCAGCUCUGGGACACCAGCCGCCAACAAUCACCGCUAGCAGCUCUGGAGCCGCACGGUGAUCAGCUGCAGAGUCUUAGCUGGAAACAGGCGGCUCCCUGCUGGCUUCCUCCUGCAAGGACAAAAAGCUGCGAGUCUUUGACCCAAGAGCCCAGCUGACACCUGUUCAGAGUGCCCAGGGACUUCAGAGUAACAAGGACUCUCGAAUCCUUUGGGUCAAGGACUCUGACCACAUACUGACCACUGGCUUCGAUCAGAUGCGGGGUCGGGAGGUGAGACUGUGGGACAGCAGGAWGUUGGGAUCCUCUCUGGGCUCUGCCAACCUGGGCACCUCCAAUGGG